rnacentral:lncRNA from 1 species
GCAGAGCAGGGUGAAGGUCAUCAUGCGGUCGAUGGCAGCCGGGGGGAACUGGGAGACCGAGAUGUCGCAGAAGUGCAUCGCUUCGAUCACUAGAGGGGGAAGCGGAAGAAUGAGGUCGGCCUCGGCGUAAGGCGUGUAAAGGGCUACCAUGCCCGGCGGCGGGUUAGAGGCGAGGCGAUUUCCGACCUCGGUAAAAACUAGAUCCGGCUGGCCCAUCUUCACCAGAGCCUCCCGGAUCACGUCGGCUCCGACGAUGGACAACGGAUUUUUGCUAGUGGGAGUGGCGAAGAGUGACUCGGCAAGAGCAGCGCCGGCGCCGGUUUGAGUAGCGGC